GCCGGGGUGGCGAAAUUGGCAGACGCACUUGCCUUAGGAGCAAGCGGAAGAAAUUCCAUGGAGGUUCAAGUCCUCUCCCCGGCACAA
rnacentral:tRNA from 1 species